GGAGGAGGGUCAGAGAGAGGGAGAGACAGAAUCUGAAACAGGCUCCAGGCUCUGAGCUGUCAGCACAGAGCCCGACGCGGGGCUCGAACUCACGGACCGCGCGAGAUCAUGACCUGAGCUGAAGUCGGCCGCCCGACCGACUGAGCCACCCAGGCGCCCCUGACAAAUUGUUUUUUAAUGUUUAUUUUUUGAGAGAGAGAGGGUGCAAGCAGGGGAGGGGCAGAGAGAGAGGGAGAAAGAGGAUCCAAAGCGGGUUCCACACUGACAGCAGACAGCCCAAUGCAGGGCUGGAACUCAUGCACUGUGAGAUCAGGACCCGAGCCGAAGUCAGGUGCUCAACUGACUGAGCCACCCAGGUGCCCCAAGAGACAGAAAUUUCAAAAAAGAACUAAAUGGGAAUUAUGGAGUUGAAAAGCACAGUAACUAACGAAAAAUUCACCAGAGAGGCUCAACAGUAGAUUUGGGCAAAGAGAUGAAGGAAUCAGCAGAUUUGAAGAUCUGUCAAUUGAGAUAGUCCUGUGUGAAAACCAGAAUGAAACCGUGAACAGAGUUUCAGCAACCUGUGGGACACAAUGACUCAAACCAGUAUUUGCAGAUGGGAGUCCCAGAAGGAGAGGAGGAGAGGGAAAGAGACACAAGGACAAGGAAAGUAGGAGAAAUGGGUGAAGGUGGUCAAAAGGUGACAUAUUUCUAGUUAUAAAAUGACUACAUCAUGGGGAUGUAAUGUGCAGCAUGGUGACUGUAGUUAAUGAUGCCGUAUCAUAUAUUUGAAAGCUGCUAAGAGUAGAUCUUAAAAGUUCUUAUCAUGGGGGAAAAAACAUACCUGUGUGGUGAUGGAUGCUAACUGGACUUGUGGUCACUUCAGAAUACAGACAAAUAAUUGAAUCAUGUUGUAUGAAUCUAAUAUAAUACCAUAUGCCAAUUAUAGCUCAAUUAAAAAAAGAGUAAUACUGAAAGCAAGAGAGAAAUGACUCACCAUAUGCAAGAGAUCCUCAACAAGAUUAACAGCUGAUUCCUCAUCAGAAACCACAAAGGGCAGGGGCAGUGGGGUGACAUAUUGCAAGUAAUGAAAGAAAAAGGUUAGGGCACCCCAGUUGGAUAAGCAUCUGACUCUUGAUUUCAGCUCAGGUCAUGAUCUCACGGUUUGUGAGAUUGAGCCCCGUGUCUGGCUGUGUGCUGACAGUGUGGAGCCUGCUUGGGAUCCUCCCUCUCCCUCUCUCUCUGCCCCUCCCCUGCUCGUGUGCUCUCUCUCAAAAUACAUAUAUAAACAUUAAAGAAAAUUAAAAAAAUUAAAAACUAUGUGUUAGAGAAACUGCAUGUUUAAAAAAUAAAUAAAAAUGAAAGGGGGAACGAAGACAAUUCCAAAUACUGAAAAAAUGUGUCACUAGCAGAUCUACUUUACAAAAAAUACUAACGGUGUUUUUUCAGGCUGAGAUGAAAAGUGAUCAGAUAGUAACUCAAAUUCACAUGAAGAAAUAAAGAGCACUGGUAAAGACAAAACAAGUGGGUUGAAAGCAAAAGUGUGGAGAUGGCACACUGUAAACAGCAGAAGAGCUGGAGGAGCUGUACUAAUAGAAGUAAAAGACUUGCAGAUCAAAAUUGGUCUUAGCAACAUUGACAAGUAGUUUCUUAUGCCAAAAGAGUCCAUCUAUCCAAAGGACGUGACCAUUACAAACACAUUUGUACUUAAAAACAGAGCCCCAAAAUACACAAAGUAAGCACUGACAGAACUGAAAGGAGAAAUAGACAACUCAGUGACAACUGGAGAGUUCAGUCUCUCAUUUUCAGUCAUUGAGAGAACCCCCACAGAAGAUCAACAUGGAAACAAGAUGUGAACAACACUAUAAGCCAACUAGACCUAACAGACGCAUACAGAGCGGAAUAAACAGUCUUCUCAAGUGCAUCAAUAGGUCAAAGUCACAAGGACCCUUAAAAAAAUUUUUUUAAUGUUUAUUUUUGAGAGAGCGAGCGAGUGGGGGAGGUGGAGAGAGGCACACACAGAAUCCGAAGUAGGCUCCAGGCUCUGAACUGUCAGCACAGAGCCCAACAUGGGGCUCAAACUCACGCACCGUGAGAUCAGGACCUGAGCCGAAGUCGGGAGCUCAACCGACUGAGCCACCCAGGCGCCCCACAAGGGCAUUUAAAAAUACAUAUGAAUGCCAUGGUUUGUGAGAUGGAGCCUGCAUCAGAGUCUGUUUAGGAUUAUCUCUCUCCCUCUCUCUCUGCCCCUCCCCCCUCAAAAUAAGUAAGUAAAACAUUAAAAAAAUAGAAAAUAAAAAUACAGGUUAAUGACAAUGAAAACACAACAUGCCAAAAUUUACGGGAUGCAGUGAAAGUAGUAAUUACAUGAAGAUUUAUGUCUGUAAUUACAUGUGUUAGAAAACAGAUCUCGAAUAAUCUAACUCUCCCCCUACUAAGAAACUACACAAAAGAGCAAUCAAGACCAAAAGCAAGCAGAAGGAAGGGAAUCCUAAAGAUUGGAGUGGAACUACAUGGAAGUAAAGAAAAACAACAGAAAAAAAAAAAACAAAAUCAAAAGUUGGUUGAGAAGAUAAAAUUGACCAACCUCAACUAGACUGCCAAAGAUAAAUACUCAAAUGUCUAAAAUUAGGAAUGAGAGGACCCAUCACUACCAAUCUUAAAGAAGCAAAAAGGAUUAUAAGGGAAGAAUAUGAAAAAAUGUAUGUCAGUGAGCUAGACAGCAGAGAUGAAAUGCACAAAUUCUUAAAAGAUGAAAACUACUGACAUCGACUCUAAAAGAAACAGAAAAUGUAAGAGACAUAUAGCAAGUAUGGGGACCUGGGUGGCUCAGUCGGUUAAGUGUCUGACUCUUGAUUUUGGCUCAGGUCAUGAUCUGAUGGUUGUGAGAUUGAGCCCUGCGUCAGGCUCUGCACUCAGCGUGAAGCCUGCUUUAAGAUUCUCUCUCUCCCUCUCCCUCCCCUGCUAGUGUGUGCUCCUUCCCUCUCUCUCUCUCUCAAGAAAGAAAAGACCUACAGCAAGUAAAAAGAAAAAAUUAGUAAUAAGUUCCCACAAACAACAGCCUAGAACCUGGGCACCUGGGGGCCUCACACUAGCAGGCUUACAGCAAUGCCAGCCAGGCAGGGGGCCAACUCCACCCGACAGUGUGCCCACAGGAGGUGCAGGCCUGCCACAACACAAGGGUGGACGUAGCCUACGCAGGGAACACCCAUGGAGCACCUGGCUCUGGUGGCCAGGGGGAAUUGCUCUUCUGGGCCCCACAGGACAUCUAUGUAAAGCCACUCCUUCAAGACGGGGAGGUAAUUGAACUACCUAAUACAUAGAAACAAAUGCAGACAGGGGCACCUGGGUGGCUCAGUCGGUUGAGCGUCCGACUUCCGCUCAGGUCACCAUCUCACACUCCAUGAGUUCGAGCCCCGCAUCAGGCUCUGUGCUGACAGCUCAGAGCCUGGGGCCUGCUUCAGAUUCUGUGUCUCCCCCUCUCUCUGCCCCUCCCCUGCUCAUGCUCUGUCUCUGUCUCAAAAAUAAGUAAAAACAUUAAAAAAAAAUUUAAAAAACGCAGACAGUCGUGCAAAAUGAGACAGAGAAAUAUGUUUUAAAUCAAAGAACAAGACAAAACCUGAGAAAAAGAACUAAAUAAAAUCAAGAAAGCAAUAUACCCAAUAAAGAGUUCAAAGUAAUGGUCAGAAAGAUGCUUACCAAACUCGGGGAGAAGAAUGGAUAAACACAGUGAGAACUUAAACCAAGAGACAGAAAAUAAAAAAGCAAUCAGAGCUGAAGAAUACAAUAAGGAAAAGGAAAUAUAUACUAGAGGGAAUAAACGUAGACUAGAUGAUAUGGAAGAAUGGAUCAGUGAUCUGGAAGACGGUAGUGGAAACCACAUAACUGGGACAGUAAAAAGAAACAAGAAUUAAAAAACAAGAUCAUUUAAGGGGCCUCUGGGACAACAUCAAGUGUACUAACAUUCACCUAUUGGGGUCCCAGAAGGAGAGGAGAGAGUAAAAGAGACUGAAAACCUAUUUGAAGAAUUAAGGCUGAAAACUUGCCUAACCAAGACAUACAAGUCCAGAAAGCACAAGUCCAAAAUAAGAUGAACCCAAAGAGACCCACACCAAGACAUGUUAUCAUUAAAAUGUCAAAAAGUAAAGACAACGGGAAUCUUAAAGCAGCAAGAGAUGGGGCACCUGAGUGGCUCAGUCAGUUAAGCAUCCAACUCUUGGUUUUGGCUCAGGUCGUGAUCUCAUGGUUUGUGGGUUCGAGCCCUGUGCUGCACUCCAUGCUGACAGUGUGGAGCCUGCUUGGGACUCUCUCCCACUCUUUCUCUCUGCCUCUCCCCUGCUCCUGCUCUCUCAAAAAUAAACAUUUAAAAAAAUUUUUUUAAUAUUUUUAUUUAUUUUUGAGAGAGAGUGAGUGAGCGAGUGUGAGCAGGGGAGGGUCAGAGAGAGAAGAGGAGAGAGAAUCCCAGGCAGGUUACACACUGUGAGCACAGAGCUGGAUGCAGGGCUCAAAUUCACGAACCAUGAGAUCAUGACCUGAGCCGACCCAAGAGUUGGCCACUUAACUGACUGAGCCACCCAGGUGCCCCCAAAAUAAAUAAACUUUAAGAAAUAAUAAAAAAAUAAAAGACAUGAAAAAAAGCAGCAAGAGAAAAGCAAGUAGUAAGGGAACACUGAUAAGACUAUCAGCUAAUAUUCAGGAGAAACUUUGUAGGUCAGAGGCUCCUGGGUGGCUCAGUUGAUUAUAAGCAUCCAACUUCAGCUCAGGUCAUGAUCUCAUGGCUCGUGAGUUUGAACCCCACAUCAGGCUCUUUGCCGUCAGCACAGAGCCUGCUUUGGAUCCAGGACAGAGGAGCCUGGUUUGGCUCUGUCCGCCCCCCCUUCUCUGCCCCUCCCUUGCUCAUGCUUGCAUGAACACUCUCUCUCAAAAAUAAACAUUAAAAAAAAAAAGGAAAAAAAAAACUUUGUUGGUCAGAAGGCUGUGGUAUGAUAUAUUCAGAGUGCUGAAAGGGAAAAACAAACCAACAAACAAAACCUUAUGACCAAGAAUACUCUGCCUGGCAAAGUUAUCAUUCAGAGUAUAAGUAGAGGUAAAAGAAUUUCCUGGUCAGCAAAAGCUAGGAGUUCGUCACCAUUAUACUGGCUUCACAAAAAAUAUUAAAGGGACUUUUUCAAGCAGAAAAGAAAAGACAGUAACUAGAAAUAAGGAAAUAUGAGGAAAAAAACCCCUCACUGGUAAAGGCAAACAUAGAAAAAGUAGUGGAACAACCACUUAUAAAAUGGUAAAAAUGUGACAUCAAAACCAUAAAAUGUGUGUGUGGGGGGAGUGGAGUAAAAAUGUAACUAAAAAACAUUUUUUUUUCCUUAGAGACAGUGUGAGUGGGGGAGGGGCAGAGAGAGAGGGAGGGAGACACAGAAUCCGAAGCAGGCUCCAGUCUCUGAGCUGUCAGCACACAGCCCGAUGCAGGGCUUGAACCCACGGACCGUGAGAUCAUGACCUGAGCUAAAGUCCAGUGCUUGACUGACUGAGCUAUCCAGGUGCUCCCAAAAUACAAUGUUUUUAGAAUGAGUUUGAACUUAACUACCAAUUUACAACAGACUGCUAUACACAGCUUGUUAUAUAUGAAUCUCAUGGUAACCACAAACCCAAAACCUGUAAUAGAUGCACAAAAAAAACCCCAGAAAGGAAUCUAAGCAUAACACUAAGGAAGGUCAUCAAAGCACAAGAAAGCAAGAGAAAAAGCAAUAGAGAAUUGCAAAACCAGCAGAAAAGAAAAUGGCAGUAAAUACAUAGCUAUCAAUAAUCACUACAACUGUAAAUGGACUCAAUGAUCCAGUCAAAAGACACAGGGUAGCUGAAUGGAUUAAACAAACGAACAAACCCAGGACUCCUCUAUAUGCUGCCUAUAAGAGACUCACUUCAGACUUAACAUACAAACUGGAAGUAAAGAGAUGGAAAAAAGAUAAUCCAUGCAAAUAGAAGCAAAAAGGUAGCAAUACUUAUAUCAGACAAAAUAUACUUUAAAACAAAGAUUGAAAUAAGAGAUAAAGAAGAGCAUAAUAUAAUGAUAAAAGGGAUCAUUUAAAAAUUUUUUUUAACAUUUUUAUUUUUGAGAGAUAGAGACAGAAUGUGAGCAAAGCAGGGGCAGAGAGAGAGGGAAACACAGAACCCAAAGCAGGCUCCAGGCUCUGAGCUGUCAGCACAGAGCCCGACACAGGUCUCAGACUCACUAGCUGUGAGAAUAUGACCUGAGCUGAAGUUGGACACUUAACGGACUGAGCCACCCAGGCACCCCAGAAUAAGUGCACGUGGAACAUUCUCCAGUACAGAUCACAAGGCCACAAAACAAGUCUAAUAAAUUGAAGAUGAAAUCACACUUACCAACCAACAGUGUGAAAGGAGAAAUCACUUACAAUAAAGGAAAUGGAAGAAAUACAAACACAUGGAGGCUAAACAAGAUGCUACUAAACAACCAAUAGGUUAAUGAAUAAAUCAAAGAGGAAAUAAGAAAAUACCUGUGACAAAAAUGAAAAAACAAUGCUCCAAAAUCUAUGGGAAACAGCAAAAGCAGUUCUAACAGGGCAGUAUAGUGACACAGAUCCAUAUCAAGAAACUGGAAAAAUCUUAAAUACAUAUUUUUUAAUGUUUAUUUUUGAGAAAGAGAGACAGAAUGCAAGCAGGGGAGGGGCAGAGAGAGAUACACACAGAAUCAGAAGCCGGCUCUGGGCUCUGAGCUGUCAGCACAGAGCCCAACAUGGGGCUCGAACUCCUGGACUGUGAGAUCAUGACCCAAGCCGAAGUCAGACACUUAACCGAUUAAGAUAGCCAGGUGCCCCUAAGAAACAGGAAAAAUCUUAAACAAUCUGAGCUCACACCUAAAGGAGCUAAAAAAAAAAAAAAAAGAAUAAAGCCAAAAGUCAGUAGAAGGAAGAAUAUAAAGAUCAGAGCAGAAGUAAAUAAAGACUAACGACCAAAAAAAAAAAAAAAAAAAAAAAAAAAUCAAUGAAAUUAAGAGUUGGUUCUUUAAUAAACAAAACUGAAAAACCUUUGGUCAGACUUGUCAAGAAAAAAGAGAGAGGACCAAAUAAAAUUAGAAGUGAAAGAGAAGUUACAACAAAUACCACAGAAAUAUAAAGGAUCAUAAAAGAUUUUCAUGAACAAUUAUAUGCCAUUAAAUUGGACAACCUAGAAGAAAUAAAUAAAUUCCUAGAAACAUACAAUCUUCCAAGACUGAAUCAGGAAUAAAACAAAAAUCUGAACAGAUGAUUAUUAGUAAUGAGUUUCAAUCAGUAAAGAAACAAAAACGAAAACAAAGAAAACUCCCCCAAACCAAAAGUCCAGGACCAGACAGCUUCAUAGGUGAAUUCUACCAAACAUUUAAAGAGUUAAUACCUAUCUUUCUGAAACUUUUCAAUUUAUUCCAAAAAACUGAAAAGGAAGGAACACUUAUUUAUGCUCAUGAGGCCAGCAUUACCGUGAUACCUAACCCAAAGACACUGUAAAAAAAAAAAGAAAAUUACAAGCCAAUAUCCCCGAUGAACAUAGAUGCAAAAAUGCUUAACAAAAUAUUAGUAAAUCAAAUUCAACUAAUACAUUAAAAAGCUCAUACACCAUGAUCACAUGGGACUUAUUUCUGGGAUGCAGGGAUGGUUCAAUAUCUGCAAAUCAUUCAAUGUGAUACAUACACCACAUUAACAAAACAAAGGAUAAAAAUCAUCCAGUCAAGACAUGAAGAAACAUUUGACAAAAUUCAAAAUCCAUUCAUAAUCUCUACAAAAGGUGGGCACAGACAUAACAUACCUCAAACACAAAAAAGGGCAUACAUGGCAAACCCACAACCAACAUCAUACACAAUAGUGAAACGUUGAAAGCUUUUCCUCAAGAAGACAAGGAUACCCCCUCCUGCCACUUUUACUGAACACAGUCCUAGCCACAGCAAUCAGGCAAGAAAAGGAAAUAAAAGACAUCCAAAUUAGAAGGAGUAAAACAGUCAUGAUGCACAGAUGACCUACUACAAUAUAAGAAACUCUCAAGUCUGCACCCCAAAACUAUUAGCAUAAAGGAAUUCAGUAAAGUUGAAGGAUGCAAAAUAAACAGAAAUCUUGUGUCUCUAUCUACUAGUAGCAAAUUAUUGCAGAAAUUAAGGAAACCAUCCCGUUUACAAUUGCAUCAACAAAUAAUUAGGAAUAAAUUUAACUGAGGAGAUGAAACAGCUGUCCCCUGAAAACUGUAAGACACUGAUGAAAGAAACUGAAGAUGACACAAAUAAAUGGAAAGAUAUACUGUGCUCAUGGGUUGGAAGAAUUAAUAUUAUUCCCAUGUCCAUACUACCAAAAUCAGCCUAUGGAUUUGAUGUGAUCCCUAUCAAAAUACCCAAUGACAUUUUUUUCACAGAACUGGAACAAAUAAUCCUAAAAAGACUCCCAAUAGCCAAAGGAACUUUGAGAAAAAGGAACAAAGCAGGAGGUAUCAAUCAUACUCCCAGAUUUCAAAGGAUACAAUUUAUAGUAAUUAAAACAACAUGGUACUGGCACAAAACCAAACACGUAGACAAAUGGAACAAAAUAGAGUCCAGAAAUAAACCCACACUUAUUUGGCCAAUUAAUCUAUGACAAAGGAGGCAAGAACAUACAAUGGAGAAAAGACAGUGUAUUCAAUAAAUGGUGUUAGGAAAACUGGACAGCUACAUGCUAAAGAAUGAAACUGGACCACU